rnacentral:rRNA from 1 species
ACUCCGGUGACGGAUGGGGCAUGCGGCGCAUUAGGUAGUUGGUAGGGUAACGGCCUACCAAGCCGACGAUGCGUAGGGGGUUCUGAGAGGAAGGUCCCCCACAUUGGAACUGAGACACGGUCCAAACUCCUACGGGAGGCAGCAGUGAGGAAUAUUGGUCAAUGGCCGGAAGGCUGAACCAGCCAAGUCGCGUGAGGGAAUAAGGCCCUAUGGGUCGUAAACCUCUUUUGUCAGGGAGCAAAGGCGUCCACGAGUGGACGAAAGGAGAGUACCUGAAGAAAAAGCAUCGGCUAACUCCGUGCCAGCAGCCGCGGUAAUACGGAGGAUGCGAGCGUUAUCCGGAUUUAUUGGGUUUAAAGGGUGCGUAGGCGGAGUGUCAAGUCAGCGGUAAAAUUUCGGGGCUCAACCCCGUCGUGCCGUUGAAACUGAUACCCUUGAGUGAGUGAGAAGUAAGCGGAAUGCGUGGUGUAGCGGUGAAAUGCAUAGAUAUCACGCAGAACGCCGAUUGCGAAGGCAGCUUACCGGCGCUCAACUGACGCUGAGGCACGAAAGUGCGGGUAUCGAACAGGAUUAGAUACCCUGGUAGUCCGCACAGUAAACGAUGAAUGCUAGAUGUCCGGGGCGAAUGAGCUUUGGGUGUCACAGCGAAAGCGUUAAGCAUUCCACCUGGGGAGUACGCCGGCAACGGUGAAACUCAAAGGAAUUGACGGGGGCCCGCACAAGCGGAGGAACAUGUGGUUUAAUUCGAUGAUACGCGAGGAACCUUACCCGGGCUCAAACGCCUCAGGAAUCAUUUGUGAAAGCAGAUGAGUCUUCGGACCUGAGGCGAGGUGCUGCAUGGUUGUCGUCAGCUCGUGCCGUGAGGUGUCGGCUUAAGUGCCAUAACGAGCGCAACCCCCACCGACAGUUGCUAACUGGUCAAGCAGAGGACUCUGUCGGGACUGCCGGCGCAAGCUGUGAGGAAGGCGGGGAUGACGUCAAAUCAGCACGGCCCUUACGUCCGGGGCGACACACGUGUUACAAUGGCAGGUACAGCGGGAAGCGACCGAGCGAUCGGCAGCGGAACCCGAAAACCUGUCUCAGUUCGGAUCGGAGUCUGCAACCCGACUCCGUGAAGCUGGAUUCGCUAGUAAUCGCGCAUCA